rnacentral:rRNA from 1 species
GAUGAACGCUAGCGGCAGGCCUAAUACAUGCAAGUCGGACGGGAUUCAGGAGCUUGCUUCUGCUGAGAGUGGCGCACGGGUGCGUAACACGUAUGUAACCUACCUUUAUCAGGGGGAUAGCCUCUCGAAAGAGAGAUUAAGCCCGCAUAAAAUCACAGCACAGCAUUGUGUACUGAUCAAAUAUUUAUCGGAUAAAGAUGGGCAUGCGGAACAUUAGCUAGAUGGCGGGGUAACGGCCCACCAUGGCGACGAUGUUUAGGGGAUCUGAGAGGAUGGCCCCCCACACUGGUACUGAGACACGGACCAGACUCCUACGGGAGGCAGCAGUAAGGAAUAUUGGUCAAUGGGCGGAAGCCUGAACCAGCCAUGCCGCGUGCAGGAAGACGGCCCUACGGGUGGUAAACUGCUUUUAUACGGGAAUAAACCCAGAUACGUGUAUCUGGCUGAAUGUACUGGAAGAAUAAGGAUCGGCUAACUCCGUG